UUGCAUUAAUUGUGGGAAAAUAAAGAUUAUCUUUUAUGCCCUAAAGGCAUGCUGACGAUUAUCAAGGUUUAAUUUGUUUAAAGUCUAGUUUUCAUAAAACUAGAAUUUAGGAGAGCUUGGUUUCAGUUCUGCCACCAAACACACACUCCUACUGGCUUAUUUGAUAUUAAGUCAGAGAACCUCUCAAAGCCAAGCCUUGGUUUUCUCUCUUUAAAAUGUAGAUUCAAACACACGUCUUGCUUACUUCUCAGAGUCAUUUUGACAAUCAAUGAGAUGAUGUAUGUGGAUGCAUUCAUUUAACGUCAAGCAGUUUAAAGGGGUAAUAAUUUUACUAUUCUGUUUCAAAUGAUAGGACACAAUUUUUUAUACCUGUGUGUCCAACAGGCAUUAUCACGUUAUCUCUUUUGUGACUUUUUCACAAACUAUUUCAAGAAAUCUUUACACAUAGCAAAGCUUGUGUAGAAUUAUGGUUUUGUUUGCUAUUCCUUGCAAUGAUUGUAUGCCUACACAGUAAUUUCAUGUAAUAGCCUCUGAUUCAUAGUCUCUUUCAUUCAGUGAUACAAGUAAUCUAACAGUCUAUAAAUAUAAUACAAACAAUUGAACCGACAGUGCGGUUUCUUCCAGAUAUCCAGUAACCAUUGCGUGACCUGUGGAAAGAAUGAAUGUAUGGUAUGAUAAUAAGAGACAAUCAAAGGAAAGGAAAGCAAACCAAAUACCCCAGGAGGUUCUUGGAAACCUAUUUCAUGCUGCAUCCAGUACUGAAGUCACUCAAGCACAGUGAAUCAGUGAGAAUAAAGAUAGAAAUAACUGAGUCUAACCUUAUAGAGAAUAUUCUACUGUGUUUAGUUUUGUGAAUUUUUUUUUCAUGUGGAAAAGGUCUUGAACACAACAGACAAAUCUGCUUUGUCAUUUAGAGGAAAGACAAUAACAAAUAUUGUUGAAAAUAUUGCUUAAGCUGCCAUUAGUGGAAAAUGAUGUGCAGCCUCAGAGGAGUUUUAAUUACCAAACAGAGAUUUCCUUAGUCAGCCUGCCUUUUCAUUGAGUCAUUUAUCCAUCCAUCUAGCCACCCACCUUCCAGCUACCAUCUAAUGUUUACUGAGUUCUUCUAUGCCAAAGAAGCAUGAGAGAUGUACUGCAUGAGCAAACAACAUGAACCCUGUCCCCAUGGAGCGUAUUCUAGUGGACCUUUAUUUUCGUAUUCAAGUGUGUCUCCAUGCAGGUAGAAGUUCUUUAGCAUGAAAAGCACAUUUGUUGGGCCGAUGGUGGAAACAGACCUCGUAGCUGAGUUUCCCUGGCCUCCGGUGCUGCGCUGAGGUUAUGGCCCGCUUCGUGGCUGGGCUGGGUGCACAGGGCCAGCGGGUGGUGUUGGUCACGUCAGGUGGCACCAAGGUCCCACUGGAGGUGUGACCGGCCCUUCUGCGAUGUUUUACAUGGUGUAGUCAUGUCAGAUUUCUAUGUUCCUGUCUCUGAAAUGCCUGAGCACAAGAUCCAGUCAUCUGGGGGCCCACUGCAGAGAACAGUGAAGAUGGUGCCAAAAAUACUUUCCCCUUUGAUUGAAGAUUGUGCUCCCAAAGCAUUUAUAAUUUCCUUUAAGUUGGAGACUGACCCCUCCAUUGUAAUUAAUCGAGCUCAGAAGGCUUUGGAAGUUUAUCAGCAUCAAGUGGUGGUGGCUAAUAUCCUUGAGUCAUGACAGUCCUUUGUGGUUAUUGUAGCCAGACACUCAGAAACCAAGUUAUAGCUAUCAGAGGAAGAAAUAGAAAAGUACAUAGAGAUAGAAGAGAAGAUAGUGGAUAAUCUUUAGUCUUGACACACAGCUUUAAUAUGUGACAAAAACUGAAGUAAAAAGCCCUUACAUUAUCAAAAAUUGUCCAGGGCUCUUACAGUUGGUGAAAACUAUAAUAAAGCCUUUGCUUUCAUAUGGACAGAGAAAAUGAAGGAAAGGGAAGACGCAGUGGUGCACAGGCAAAUAUGCUUUGGUAUUUGUCUUUUAAUGACACGUGAUACACUCGCCUGAAUGUCUUCUUGAUUUUGAAAUUGAACACUAGAACUGUUUCUCACUUUUAAAUAGAAGAGCUUAUUGGGAAGUAUAUAUUACUUUAGAUACACAUUGGGGCCUGAAUAUCAGCCUUCUUUAUACUGUAAAAAGAGGAUUAUGGAUGCAUGAAUGGUCAUGCUUUGAAAGUCAAAUAUUUGUUGAGUGCCUACUGUGUGUCAGGCCCUGUGCUGAGCCACGAGGGUUAAAAAGAUGAAUAAAUGUGUUUUAAAAAAAUAAAAGAAAAUCACAUUUGUUAUACAAUGAGAAUUUAACAUAGCUUAAUUGUUGGUGCUAUAUUUCUCUGGUUCUCCCCAUCCACCACUGCUUCUAAUUUCUACUUUGUUUUUUUUUUUUUUACUGUGCAGUUUAUACUUUUAUAUCCUGAUAACUCAUUUAUUCAUCUAGUGUUAGCAUCAUGAAGGUACUAGGAAUAUAUUACUAAAAGACAUAAUCUCUACCCUCCAGUUGACAGUAUGAUAGAUAAACCAAUAUAUGAAUAAGUCAUUCUAACACAGAACCACCAGUGUGAUGAGAGAUUGCACACAGUGUAUAGAGAUCAGAAGCCAGAAAAACCUCUUCCACCCUAAUUGGCCAUCUCCUUAUACACAGUCAUUUGAUUUAUAUUGCUAAAGUCAAGUUAAAUAGGGAGACAUUUCACUUCUGAUUGUGUCUUUUUGAGCAUCCCUGUGUCUGUUUUCUUGUAUAUACAGAUAAGCCAAGCUAUAGAAAAGGCUCUUGAUUUAGAAGCCACCAUGUCAUUAUUUUCCUGAGUCUCUCCAAAGGAUAAUAUGAGUUAUGUGUUGGAGGGCUGGCCUUGAGUAAUACCUUUUAAUUUUUGUAGAAUACAGGUCAUGGGAAUGUCUGUCUAAAGCAUUUUGUUGAUUUUCAUUUUCUAGAACUUGGGGAAAAAAAAGUUCAUUAUGUAUUUUGGGAUAUUUUGAGUAUUGUCCUAACCAGAUAUGGGCAUCCUGACUGAAUGAUUUCGGAGAAUCCCUUUUAACCCAGUAAGUUUUGGCUAAAUGUCCUUUCCUCUUUUACCGUCUGAUACUUAAACUCGUUAGAAGGCUCCAGAACAUCUCUAUGAUUUAGAAGACAUUUCUCCACAUUCAAGUUGUGACUUUUAUAUUUAAAGCGCAUUAUGGCUGGCCAGGCGCCAGUGGCUCACGCCUGUAAUCCCAGCAAUUUGGGAGGCCAAAGCAGGU